UGGGAAGUAGCUCAGUGAAAGAGUGUUUGUCUAGCAUACACAAUGCCCUGGGUUCCAUCCCCAGCAUUGCAG
rnacentral:tRNA from 1 species